rnacentral:rRNA from 1 species
GACGAACGCUGGCGGCGUGCCUAAUACAUGCAAGUUGAGCGAUGAAGAUUGGUGCUUGCUCCUCUUUCAAGAGCAGCGAACGGGUGAGUAACGCGUGGGGAAUCUGCCUUUGAGCGGGGGACAACUUUUGGAAACGAAUGCUAAUACCGCAUAACAACUUUAAACAUAAGUUUUAAGUUUGAAAGAUGCUAUUGCUUCACUCAAUGAUUAUACCGCGUUGUAUUAGCUAGUUUGUGAGGUAAAGGCCCACCAAAGCGAUGAUACAUAGCCGACCUGAGAGGGUGAUGGGCCAAAUUGGGACUGAGACACGGCCCAAACUCCUACGGGAGGCAGCAGUAGGGGAACUUCAGCAAUGGAGGAAAGUCUGACCGAGGAACGCCGCGGGAGGGAAGAAGGGUGUCGGAUCGUAAAAAUCUGUUGGUAGAGAAGAACGUUGGUGAGAGUGGAAAGCGCAUCAAGUGACGGUAACUACCCAGAAAGGGACGGCUAACUACGUG